rnacentral:misc_RNA from 1 species
AGGAGUUUAUUGAGACAGCAUAAGAGAUUAUUGGGAGCAGGAUCAUCAUGUCACUUAUUUAACUUACAGAUUCCCAUUAAUGGUUCAAAGUCGUGACUUGGAUUUUUCUGAUUGCGGUAAUUUACGGUAAUCGUAUACGCCUAUUCCCCGCUUUCUUCCCAGGCGGCCAGCAUCGACGUACUGCACGAGAAGAGGGCAGGGAGCAUAUUUAUUGUCACCAAGUCCAGAGUGGAGAACCUUCAUGAUUGAUAAACAAACAUCCAAACCAAUGAAGUCUGCAAGCUCCAAGGGACCCAUGGGAUGAUUUGUUCCUAGCUUCAUUCCCGUGUCGAUGUCUUCCUUCGUUGCCACUCCCGUGAAGAGAGCAAAAAAUGCCUCGUUAAUCAUCGGCAUUAGGAUUCUGUUCACGAUGAAGCCAGAGUAGUCCUGAGAACAUAUCACUGUUUUACCAAGCCUCUCAGCCAAGAUUUUUAUGGCAUCGAAUGUUUCAUUGGAUGUAUCCGCACCUCGAACGAUCUCAACCAGUUUCAUUAUAGGUGGGGGAUUCAUGAAAUGCAUGCCAAUAACCUGCUCAGGACGUGUGGUUGCUGAU